rnacentral:rRNA from 1 species
AGCAGUGAGGAAUAUUGGUCAAUGGCCUAACGGCUGAACCAGCAACUUGGAAGAACGUAUAGCUUCGGCUUGUUAUAUUUAAGUUUUAUAUUUAAAUUUAAAUUUAAUUUAAUUUAAAUAUAUGGAAAGUUAGAAAGAUUGAAAGUAGAAACAACUUACUAUACUUUUUUUAUACUAAAUAUAAUAUCGACUACGUCGAAUAAAGGUCUAGGCGUAGAAUUCUGAUAAUGACAGUAACUUGCCUAUCAGUCUUGACUAAAUUACGUGCCAGCAGUCGCGGUAAUACGUAGAAGACUAGUGUUAUUCAUCUUUAAUAGGUUUAAAGGGUACCUAGACGGCGUAAUUAGCCUAAAAUAAGGUACGGUUAUAGCUAGAGUUAUAUAAGAGAAGGGGAGUAUGGAUGGAGGAGAGAUGAAAUUUUUUUAUCCCAUACAGACUGAUAGAGGCGAAAGCAACCUUUUAUCUAAUAACUGACGUUGAGGGACGAAGGCUUGGGUCACGAACAGGAUUAGAUACCCUAGUAGUCCUUGCAGACAAUUAUGAAUGCCAUAGACUAGAUUAUUUUUUUUUAGUUUAUAAAUUAAACUAGAUUAUUUUUUUAGUUUAUAAAUGAAAGUGUAAGCAUUUCACCUCAAGAGUAAUGUGGCAACGCAGGAACUGAAACCAUUAGACCGUUUCUGAAACCAGUAGUGAAGUAUGUUAUUUAAUUCGAUAACCCUCGAAAAACCUUACCACAACUUGAAUAUUAUCAGUAGAUUACUAUCUAUGUAUAUUACAAGCGUUGCACGGCUGUCUUCAGUUAAUGUCGUGAGAUUUUGGUUAGCUCCAUAAAAUUAACGUAAACCCUUGCUUUAUUUAUUUUUAUUUAAAAUAAAGCAGUUCGCCACUAUAUUGGAAUAUGAUAAGAGGGAUCAAGACAAGUCAACAUGACCUUAAUGUUGUGGGCUAUAGAA